CCCUUAGAUGUCCUGGGCUGCACGCGCGCUACACUGGAAGUUACGGAUUGAGAUACUACCUUGUCCGAAAUGGUCCGGGUAAUCACCUAAAAGCUUGUCAUAAUUGGAAUGGAUUAUUGUAACUAGUAAUCCUGAACGAGGAAUUCCUAGUAAGUCCCAGUCAACAGCUGGUACUGAUUACGUCCCUGCCCUUUGUACACACCGCCCGUCGCUACUACUGAUUGGACGUUUAAGCAAGAUUUUUAAACACUGACAGUGUGUAGUACACGCUAUACUACAGUGAGAAGAAGAAGAUCGAGCUUACUUGUCUAGAGGAAGUAAAAGUCGUAACA
rnacentral:rRNA from 1 species